UACGGGGGGGGCAAGCGUUGUUCGGAAUUACUGGGCGUAAAGGGCUCGUAGGCGGCCAACUAAGUCCGGCGGGAAAUCCCCAGGCUUAACCUGGGAACUGCGUCGGAUACUGGAUGGCUUGAAUUCGGGAGAGGGAUGCAGAAUUCCAGGUGUAGCGGUGAAAUGCGUAGAUAUCUGGAGGAAUACCGGUGGCGAAGGCGGCAUCCUGGACCGACAUUGACGCUGAUGAGCGAAAGCUAGGGGAGCAAACGGG
rnacentral:rRNA from 1 species